GUGCCAGCCGCUGCGGUAAUACGUAGGGUCCGAGCGUUGUCCGGAAUUAUUGGGCGUAAAGGGCUCGUAGGCGGUUUGUCGCGUCGGGAGUGAAACAGCCAGCUUAACUGGUUGCUUGCUUUCGAUACGGGCAGACUAGAGGUAUGCAGGGAGAAUGGAAUUCCUGGUGUAGCGGUGAAAUGCGCAGAUAUCAGGAGGAACACCGGUAGCGAAGGCGGUUCUCUGGGCAUUACCUGACGCUGAGGAGCGAAAGUGUGGGAGCGAACAGGAUUAGAUACCCUGGUAGUCCACACCGUAACGUUGGGCGCUAGGUGU
rnacentral:rRNA from 1 species